rnacentral:tRNA from 1 species
ACUUUUAAAGGAUAGAAGUAAUCCAUUGGUUUUAGAAACCAUCCACCCUUGGUGCAA